UACGGGAGGCAGCAGCCAGGAAUCUUGGGCAAUGGGCGAAAGCCUGACCCAGCAACACCGUGUGGGUGAUGAAGGCCUUCGGGUCGUAAAGCCCUGUUGAUAGGGACGAAGGGCGAAGGGUUAAUAGCCCCUAGCUUGACGGUACCUGUCGAGGAAGCCCCGGCUAACUACGUGCCAGCAGCCGCGGUAAUACGUAGGGGGCGAGCGUUGUCCGGAUUUAUUGGGCGUAAAGAGCGUGUAGGCGGUUCGGUAAGUCUGUCGUGAAAUCCCGAGGCUCAACCUCGGGCGUGCGAUGGAUACUGCCGGGCUAGAGGGUGGUAGAGGCGAGUGGAAUUCCCGGUGUAGCGGUGAAAUGCGCAGAUAUCGGGAGGAACACCAGUAGCGAAGGCGGCUCGCUGGGCCACACCUGACGCUGAGACGCGAAAGCUAGGGGAGCGAACAGGAUUAGAUACCCUGGUAG
rnacentral:rRNA from 1 species